CGGUGUUUAACUGGCGUGAUGUGGGACGUCCUACCGGUGGGCUUAGCCUCGCGAGGGGCGGCCCAACUAAUAUCCCGUCGCGGUGCUCUUUACUGAGUGUCGAGUCGGGCCGGUACGUUUACUUUGAACAAAUUAGAGUGCUUAAAGCAGGCUAUCCUCGCCUGAAUACUGCGUGCAUGGAAUAAUGGAAUAGGACCUCGGUUCUAUUUUGUUGGUUUUCGGAACCCCGAGGUAAUGAUUAAUAGGGACAGAUGGGGGCAUUCGUAUUGCGACGUUAGAGGUGAAAUUCUUGGAUCGUCGCAAGACGGACAGAAGCGAAAGCAUUUGCCAAAAAUGUUUUCAUUAAUCAAGAACGAAAGUUAGAGGUUCGAAGGCGAUCAGAUACCGCCCUAGUUCUAACCAUAAACGAUGCCAGCUAGCGAUCCGCCGAAGUUCCUCCGAUGACUCGGCGGGCAGCUUCCGGGAAACCAAAGCUUUUGGGUUCCGGGGGAAGUAUGGUUGCAAAGCUGAAACUUAAAGGAAUUGACGGAAGGGCACCACCAGGAGUGGAGCCUGCGGCUUAAUUUGACUCAACACGGGAAACCUCACCAGGCCCAGACACCGGAAGGAUUGACAGAUUGAUAGCUCUUUCUUGAUUCGGUGGGUGGUGGUGCAUGGCCGUUCUUAGUUGGUGGAGCGAUUUGUCUGGUUAAUUCCGAUAACGAACGAGACUCUAGCCUGCUAAAUAGGCGUACCUUAUGGUAUCGCGAAGGCCCCCGGCUUCGGCCGGUGGGUUUUUACUACCAACGUACAAACAAAUCUUCUUAGAGGGACAGGCAG
rnacentral:rRNA from 1 species